UUAUGGUACUAUUUUUACGUCGAUGC
rnacentral:sRNA from 1 species